rnacentral:rRNA from 1 species
CUACGGGUUGCACCAGUUAAGGAUCUUUUGCAAUGCACGAAAGUGUGACAAAGCGAGCCAGAGUGUUUUUCUGUAUUAUGAAAAACUUUUACUUACUCUAAAAAGGUAGGUGAAUAAGGACUGGGCAAGACUGGUGCCAGCCGCCGCGGUAAUACCAGCGGUCCGAGUCGCAGCCGUUAUUAUUGGGUCUAAAACAUCCGUAGCUUGUUUUGUAAGUCUUCUGUGAAAUCUCACAUCUUAAGUGUGAGGCGGGCAGGAGAUACUGCAUUGCUAGAGACUGGGAGAAGUAAGGAGUACAUAUAGGGUAGUGGUAAAAUACGUUGAUCCUGUAUGGACUAACAAUAGCGAAGGCACCUUACUAGAACAGAUCUGACAGUGAGGGAUGAAGGCUAGGGUCGCAAAACGGAUUAGAUACCCCGGUAGUC